rnacentral:rRNA from 1 species
AUUGAACGCUGGCGGCAUGCCUUACACAUGCAAGUCGAACGGUAACAGGCCGCAAGGUGCUGACGAGUGGCGAACGGGUGAGUAAUGCAUCGGAACGUGCCCAGUCGUGGGGGAUAACUGCUCGAAAGAGCAGCUAAUACCGCAUACGACCUGAGGGUGAAAGCGGGGGACCGUAAGGCCUCGCGCGAUUGGAGCGGCCGAUGUCAGAUUAGCUAGUUGGUGGGGUAAAUGCCUACCAAGGCAACGAUCUGUAGUUGGUCUGAGAGGACGACCAGCCACACUGGGACUGAGACACGGCCCAGACUCCUACGGGAGGCAGCAGUGGGGAAUUUUGGACAAUGGGCGCAAGCCUGAUCCAGCAAUGCCGCGUGCAGGAAGAAGGCCUUCGGGUUGUAAACUGCUUUUGUCAGGGAAGAAAUCUUCUGGGCUAAUACCCCGGGAGGAUGACGGUACCUGAAGAAUGAGCACCGGCUAACUACGUGCCAGCAGCCGCCGUAACAC